UUGAACGCUGGCGGCAUGCCUUACACAUGCAAGUCGAACGGUAGAGGGGCAACCCUUGAGAGUGGCGAACGGGUGAGUAAUAUAUCGGAACGUGCCCAGUCGUGGGGGAUAACGCAGCGAAAGCUGCGCUAAUACCGCAUACGAUCUAAGGAUGAAAGCGGGGGAUCGCAAGACCUCGCGCGAUUGGAGCGGCCGAUAUCAGAUUAGGUAGUUGGUGGGGUAAAAAGCC
rnacentral:rRNA from 1 species